ensembl:lncRNA LINC00698 long intergenic non-protein coding RNA 698
UCCUUGCCUUCUGCCAUAAUUGUGAGGCCUCCUCAGCCACACGGAAAUGCUUAUAGGCAUAAGAGACUUGCCUUGUCUCAGAUGAAACUUUGGACUGUGGACUUUUGAGUUAAUGCUGAUAUUAGGUCCUGCACAGUUCAAUAUUAAAUGGAGUUUCUACCCUAGCAUGAAAGGAGGAAGAGAGAAAAUCGGAUCCAAGAGAAAUUCGGCUCCAACAUUCCCCAAAUAUUAGAGUGGUUAUGUUGAAGAUGUAAAUAUUCUCCCUGCUGUGAGUAUUACUGCAGCUGCCCAAAGAUGCUUUAUUUUAAAGAUGUGGAUACAGGAAGAUAAAAGCAUCAGAAACACUGCAUGGGAAAAUCAUUCAGACUGCAGCUUCCUGGUUUUAGACAUCCCCACUGGCAAUUGGGACAUCUAUUUUGGAGAUGUAAUUGAAAAGACUGAAGAAUGUACUGAGGACCUUCUGGCUGAUAGAAGCUGACAAAGAAGCCAAGAUUGGUGAAGAUUUCUGCAAUACCUGAGUUUCUAAUCACAACAACAAAAAUGACCUGGAUAGAAAACCUUGGAGAUAGUAAUUGAUGGGCAUCACGUAGCUGGUUGCUGGAGAAACACUGAAGCAGAACUUGUAAUAUCUUCAAAACAAGUGAAGGCCAGGAAUCAGAAAUGCUUCUGAAGGUCAGCUGCCUCUCCAGCCAUCUAUGAAGAGCUAUGGUUCUGAAUCCUGGCUAAUAUCAGAAUCAUCCUGGGAGCUUUUGAAAAUCCUGAUGCUCAAGUCACACUCCAUACUCAGACAAGAAGCUGAGUCUCAGAGAGAGAAAAUGACUCAUCCAAGCAAGGUUUGAGACCUAAGAAAGGUUGUGUAAGCAGAAGCUGGAAGACCCUUGAAAAGAGCAUUCAUUCAAGAAAUGAAGCAUGAGAUAGGAUGGAAGGAGGGAAGAAAGACAAGCAUAUGGCAUAUCAGGUCUCUUCCAGUGCUAAAGGCUGCCUAUGAUACUCAUCUGACCUGAUUUCUCCUGCACAGUGUUGCAACUGACGAGUAGCAGACUUGCCCUUGCCUGCAUUUGGGGGGAUGGCUGAGACUUUCCUUACAGAAAGCCCUACUUUCAGCAUGAACACUAACCCAGUUUAUUGGCUCAGGGUGUAGAGAGUUGCCUUGUCACUGGCGAAGUCAGAUGCAGCCAGUACCAGAGCUCUGCACUAGCUGUGAACACUAAGGAAGAAUAGCUGAGUGAGGAAGCAGAGUGCCAGGCAGCACAUCCUUCUUCAGGUGUUUCCUGCCCUGGGCCAGAUCCCAGGCACUGCAGCAAUAUCUCUGCAUGAUCUAGGGCUCCUGGAAAUAGCCCAUUAAGGGCAAAACUCGCUGCCCAGAAAACAUUAGAACAUUAAAAGAGCAGGGUCUCAUCUGAUUGUCUUGGUUUCCUGAGGCUCAUUCAGUCUGUGUCCACUGGUUUCAGUCUGAGUUCUCUGCACUUUGAGGAUGCAGACAGUGAAGUUCUCCCAUGGUUAUAGGGGGAGAGAUCAUAGGAAUGCUAUGGAAAGAGGCCUGAAGUCAGAGCCAGCUAGUGGUUAUUAUUUAUUAAUUGCCUGUGAGGUGCCAGGCGCACAUAUUAGACCAUAUGUGAUUGCAGUGAGCCACCCGGAUCCCCUUCAAGCUGCUGCUGCAGCUGAUGGAAGUCCUAUUGGCAGACAGCCUUCUCUCAUCAGCCCCUUCAGGACUUGCCUCAGUUGCAGAGAGCUGCCUUCCCCAAGAUCACACCCUUCCCUGGGGACUCACAACCAAUGGCUGAUCCAGAAGAAUCCAUAAAGCCCGUAUCAUUUCAGCCCAAUUUAGGACAGCUUUGUUGAGCCAUUAGACCUACAUGCAGCCCAACCUCUCCUUCUACCCACUUCUUCUUUCUUCCCUUUCCUUCCACGGUGUCUGUUCCAAGCACUUGCCUUAAUAAACAUGUAACAGGUUAAA